rnacentral:rRNA from 1 species
AAAUUGAAGAGUUUGAUCAUGGCUCAGAUUGAACGCUGGCGGCAGGCCUAACACAUGCAAGUCGAGCGGAAACGACACUAACAAUCCUUCGGGUGCGUUAAUGGGCGUCGAGCGGCGGACGGGUGAGUAAUGCCUAGGAAAUUGCCUUGAUGUGGGGGAUAACCAUUGGAAACGAUGGCUAAUACCGCAUAAUGCCUACGGGCCAAAGAGGGGGACCUUCGGG